rnacentral:rRNA from 1 species
AACGAACGCUGGCGGCAUGCCUAGCACAUGCAAGUCGAACGAGACCUUCGGGUGUAUUGGCGCACGGGUGCGUAACGCGUGGGAACCUUCCCUUAUGUUCGGACUAACUCCCCGAAAGGGGUGCUAAUACCGGAUAAUGUCUUCGGACCAAAGAUUUAUCGCCUUUGGAUGGGCCCGCGUUGGAUUAGAUAGUUGGUAGGGUAAAAGCCUACCAAGGCGACGAUCCAUAGGUGGUCUGAGAGGAUGAUCAGCCACACUGGGACUGAGAAACGGCCCAGACUCCUACGGGAGGCAGCAGUGGGGAAUAUUGGACAAUGGGCGAAAGCCUGAUCCAGCAAUGCCGCGUGAGUGAUGAAGGCCUUAGGGUUGUAAAGCUCUUUUACCCGGGAUGAUAAUGACAGUACCGAGAGAAUAAGCUCCGGCUAACUCCGUG